UAGGGAAUAUUGGUCAAUGGGCGGAAGCCUGAACCAGCCAUGCCGCGUGCAGGAAGGAGGCCCUACGGGUUGUAAACUGCUUUUACCCGGGAAGAAACCGCCCCCUGUGGGGGGCGUUGCCGGUACCGGGGGAAAAAGGAUCGGCUAACUCCGUGCCAGCAGCCGCGGUAAUACGGAGGAUCCGGGCGUUAUCCGGAAUUACUGGGUUUAAAGGGUGCGUAGGCGGGGCUUUAAGCCGGCGGUGAAAUGCAGCGGCUCAACCGCUGGAAUGCCGUUGGGACUGGGGCUCUUGGAUACGGUCGGGGCGGGUGGAACUCGUGGUGUAGCGGUGAAAUGCAUAGAUAUCACGAGGAACGCCGGUAGCGAAGGCAGCUCGCCGGGCCGGUAUUGACGCUGAGGCACGAAAGCGUGGGGAUCGAACA
rnacentral:rRNA from 1 species